GGAUGGUCGGCCACACUGGGACUGAGACACUGCCCAGACUCCUACGGGAGGCUGCAGUCGAGGAUCUUCCGCAAUGGACGCAAGUCUGACGGAGCGACGCCGCGUGCGGGAGGAAGGCUUUCGGGUUGUAAACCGCUGUCACCUGUUACGAAUCGGCGGGGUGUGAAUAGCGCCCCGACGUGACGAAGGCAGGAGAGGAAGCCAUGGCUAACUUCGUGCCAGCAGCCGCGGUAAUACGAAGGUGGCAAGCGUUGUUCGGAAUCACUGGGCAUAAAGCGCGUGUAGGCGGCAAGGUUAGUCGGGUGCGAAAGCCCUCAGCUCAACUGAGGAACGGCACCCGAUACUGCCUUGCUUGAGGCCUGGAGGGGAGAACGGAAUUCCCGGUGGAGCGGUGAAAUGCGUAGAUAUCGGGAGGAACGCCGGCGGCGAAGGCGGUUCUCUGGACAGGUUCUGACGCUGAGACGCGAAAGCUAGGGGAGCAAACGGGAUUAGAUACCCCGGUAGUCCUAGCCGCAAACGAUGGGUGCUAGGUAGUGGCGGUUCCUAUUCCGGCACUGCCGAAGCUAAUGUUUUAAGCACCCCGCCUGGGGAGUACGGCCGCAAGGCUAAAACUCAAAGGAAUUGACGGGGGCUCACACAAGCGGUGGAGCAUGUUGCUUAAUUCGAAACAACGCGAAGAACCUUACCCGGGUUUGACAUGUUGGUGUUAGCGCGGGGAAACCAUGCGUGACCCCUUCACGGGGGAGCCAGCACAGGUGUUGCAUGGCUGUCGUCAGCUCGUGUCGUGAGAUGUUGGGUUAAGUCCCGUAACGAGCGAAACCCUUGCCAUUAGUUGCUACAGGUCAAGCUGAGAACUCUAGUGGGACUGCCGGUGUCAAACCGGAGGAAGAUGGGGACGACGUCAAGUCAUCAUGGCCCUUACGCCCGGGGCUGCAAACGUGCUACAAUGGCGGGUACAAAGGGUUGCGAGGCCGUGAGGUCAAGCCAAUCCCAAAAAGCCCGUCCCAGUCCGGAUUGGAGGCUGAAACUCGCCUCCAUGAAGUCGGAAUCGCUAGUAAUCGCAGAUCAGCCACGCUGCGGUGAAUAUGUUCCUGAGCCUUGUACACACCGCCCGUCAAGCCAUGGGAGCCGGGAGUGCCCGAAGUCGCGAUCCCAACCGCAAGGAGGGUAGCGCCGAAGGCAAGCUCGGUGACUGGGACUAAGUCGUAACAAGGUA
rnacentral:rRNA from 1 species